CUAGCGAAUGGAGAGCAUCAUCACAAACUCUGAAGAGCAGAGAGAAGACAGAAAAACAGAACAGAUGAUUUUCUGGGUGCUUCAGAGACCGACCCUGUCGGGGAGACACCAUUGCUGCAAGACGGAAAAAUCAGACGAUAAACAGCAAAAGGAAACAGCUAGAAGUCGAGCAGCACAGCGCUUCUCGUCCUCCUUGAGCAGUGCUCCACUUGUGAAUGGCUGCGCUGUAUCCUGUCCGUUGUGUGUUCCCCUCUUGACCCCUUUCCAUCAGAGAGGCUUAACAGGUAAUUACCUGGCUAAACAUGCAGCCAACGAUUAGAAAGCAAAACGUGGAACAGCAGUGUGACUGCUGUGACCUUCCUCAAAGGUUUUUGGUGUCAUAGGUAUUUUGAUUUAGAGCUUCUCUCUCUCUCUCUCUCUCUCUCUCUCUCUUUUUUUUUUUUUUUAAGUUUUCAUAUUGGUCCUUUGGAGUGACUUUUAGUUCUGCCCUGAGGAAGUGUUUUCUAGUGUUUCUGAGUGAGUGACAUUUAUCCACAUGGUGUUGAGAUCAAAGGUAUAUUGAAAAUGUUAAAUACAAAUCCGACAAUUGAUCAAACACUUAAUUGCAUGUCCAUACACAAUCAUCAUCCUAAUUCAAUUAUGAGGAGUGUUGAUAUGUAUGCAAAACUAUAAGCAGAUGUACUGCUGGAAAAGCCAUUACAUUUACAUUUAGCAGUCGCUUUUGUCCAAAGCCACAUACAGUAAUUCAUACAUUCAUACACUGAUGACAGUGGCUGCCAUGCAAGUAGCUGACCAGCACAGCAGGAGCAGUUUGGCUUUCAGGGUUGUUAGAUAAACUAUAACAGAUUAGUAUUAUAUCUGAGCUGUAAUAUAAUUGUUGUCAUUUUUUUAUUCUCUAUGUUGUUAUACAGGGUUUGUUUUCAAUUGCUUUGGUUGUUUUUAAGAAUGCAUAGCAUAUGUUCAUUAUAUAUUUCUACAUAACUUGCUUGCAUGACCAUGUUCUCAUCUUUAAAUAUUUUAGCUGGGGUUAUACAGAGACACGCCCUUUCCGGUUUCCAUCAGCAGAACUUAAAAAAAUAAAAAUAAAAAUAAAAUCUGUAUUUUAGUGGAUAGAGAGAGACCAAUUAUUUUUAGAUCCCGCUUGAACUGUGACAUGAACUAAACACAGGACGUUGGUCAAUUUAAGAGAUGUUUUUUUCAUCUUGACAGUCGCAGUUUGGUCUCCAUUUCCGGUUGCUUUGCACACGACCGCGCGCGGCGCGCGACGCGCGACUGUCGCCAGCUAGCCAAACCUGACUUCUCCAGUGACUGUCCAUGUAUUCACACAGGUGGCCUUACCUUAAUUAAUUAUAUUUGUAAAUGCAUUUGUUCUCUAAAACAUUAGGGAAUACGUCGUGUUCUACCGGAGGAAUGGACGUGAUAUGACAUGGAGACAACGUCUUUGAAGUGUAGCCGAUGAGCUGGCCUGGUAGCAGCGGCAGCGAGCUGACGUCAUCGAAGGGCACCAUCGGUCUGACUCGCAUGCAGCUGACUGACUCCCAUCCGUCCACCAUACAGAAGUCAUACUUACCUGGCAGGGGAGACACCAUGAUCAAGAAGGUGGUUCACCCAUGGGCACCAUCGGUCUGACUCGCAUGCAGCUGACUGACUCCCAUCCGUCCACCAUACAGAAGUCAUACUUACCUGGCAGGGGAGACACUAUGAUCAAGAAGGUGGUUCACCCAUGAGUGCUUUUAGAUCUGGAUCGAGCCAUUUUUUAUUUCACGUGGGGGUCCACGUGGGAGCCAGUGACCAGACAAGCGAUGAAAAAGCCUAAAAACAAAAGCAGGGAAAGACGUUCCGGACCUCCACUUUUUUAGGCAGCAAUAGCGGGAGCCAGUGAGUCCAGUGCGUGGGCUUGCAUUUGGUGAGCCCUCAACGGUUUGGAACAUUGUGAACCAUCCUGCUCUCCCAAACAGAUGACAAGAUCUGUCCUGGAUGGUAGCUCAUGAGGUCCUCCCGGUCAGGCCCGGUAUGCACUCUUGGGGCAUGUCAUCAUCCACCAUCGGCCCCGACUGGGUUGUGGGCGCACCCAAGUCAGUGAGGCAGCACUGCCAUGAAUCUGUGGGCAAUUCCUGUGCUUGCCAGCAGGGGAGGUCCUAGAUGUACAACUAGUGCUCUACAAGGUGAGCAGGAGGAUAAGAACAACCAAGGAAUUCUCCAAGCUCUGGCUCACCCUGGCCGCCAUGAAAGACACCGUUUGGACCUCCAGAAACCUGCUGGCAAGAAAGCACAUGCAGAUCCCCCCUGUGGCUACAAUCCAAAUGGCCUCAGCAACUGUCCAAACAGCUGUCGCUGCGGGCGGCAGGCCUAGGACGUAGCCGUAGAAGAAUCGCCUCUGUACUCAUUUGGAGGUUGGAGCUGGAGCCACACACAAAUUCAAGGCAGCGGCGGCCUGAUCCUCCAGGUGUGGAAGGUGGGAAGGGGAGAGCACGAAUACAGUCCCUCACUACCAGAAAAGAUGACAGUGGAGCUUCUCCCAUUGAACACAUGAAGAAUUCAGUGGCGUUUGCUGGAAACUACAGUAAUGUAUAUGUGGCUCACCCCCAUUAGAAU